rnacentral:rRNA from 1 species
CCUACGGGUGGCAGCAGUGAGGAAUAUUGGUCAAUGGACGAGAGUCUGAACCAGCCAAGUAGCGUGAAGGAUGACUGCCCUAUGGGUUGUAAACUUCUUUUAUAAAGGAAUAAAACGAGGCAAGUGUGACUUUUUGCAUGUACUUUAUGAAUAAGGAUCGGCUCACUCCGUGCCAGCAGCCGCGGUAAUAAGGAGGAUCUGAGCGUUAUACGGAUCAAUUGGGUUUAAAGGGAGCGUAGAGGGGUUGUUAAGUCAUUUGUGAAAGUUUGCGGAUCAACCGUAAAAUUGCAAUUGAUACUGGCAGUCUUGAGUACAGUGGAGGUAGGCGGAAUUCGUGGUGUAGCGGUGAAAUGCGUAGAUAUCACGAAGAACCCCGAUUGCGAAGGCAGCUUACUAAACUGUGACUGACAUUGAUGCUCGAAAGUGUGGGUAUCAAACAGGAUUAGAUACCCUUGUAGUC